AGUCAUCGAGUUCCACCUCGGGGUGAACCACAUCGACACGGAGGAGCUGUCGGCGGGGGAGGAGCACCUGGUGAAAUGCCUGCGGCUGCUGCGCAGGUACCGGCUCUCGCACGACUGCAUCUCUCUCUGCAUCCAGGCGCAGAAUAACCUGGGUAUCUUGUGGUCUGAAAGAGAAGAAAUUGAAACUGCACAGGCUUACCUAGAGUCAUCAGAAGCACUAUAUAAUCAGUAUAUGAAAGAGGUUGGGAGUCCUCCUCUUGAUCCUACUGAGUGUUUUCUUCCUGAAGAAGAGAAACUUACUGAACAAGAGAGAUCAAAAAGAUUUGAAAAGGUUUAUACUCAUAACUUAUAUUACCUAGCUCAAGUCUACCAGCAUCUGGAAAUGUUUGAGAAGGCUGCUCACUAUUGCCAUAGUACACUAAAACGCCAGCUCGAGCACAAUGCCUACCAUCCUAUAGAGUGGGCUAUCAAUGCUGCUACCUUGUCACAGUUUUACAUCAAUAAGGUAAGCUUCUUGAAGUAGUUAUCUAACAGAGUACCAAUAGUGAGUAUAAAAAUAGAACCAGUAGUACCUUG
rnacentral:sRNA from 1 species